CCUACGGGAGGCAGCAGUGAGGAAUAUUGGUCAAUGGACGAAAGUCUGAACCAGCCAUGCCGCGUGCAGGACGACGGCUCUAUGAGUUGUAAACUGCUUUUGUAAGAGGGUAAACUUAGGUACGUGUACCUAACUGCAAGUAUCUUACGAAUAAGGAUCGGCUAACUCCGUGCCAGCAGCCGCGGUAAU
rnacentral:rRNA from 1 species